AGUCGAACGGCAGCGCGGGGCAACCUUGGCGGCGAGUGGCGAACGGGUGAGUAAUAUAUCGGAACGUACCCAAGAGUGGGGGAUAACGUAGCGAAAGUUACGCUAAUACCGCAUACGAUCUAAGGAUGAAAGCAGGGGAUCUUCGGACCUUGUGCUCCUGGAGCGGCCGAUAUCUGAUUAGCUAGUUGGUGAGGUAAAGGCUCACCAAGGCGACGAUCAGUAGCUGGUCUGAGAGGACGACCAGCCACACUGGAACUGAGACACGGUCCAGACUCCUACGGGAGGCAGCAGUGGGGAAUUUUGGACAAUGGGCGCAAGCCUGAUCCAGCAAUGCCGCGUGAGUGAAGAAGGCCUUCGGGUUGUAAAGCUCUUUUGUCAGGGAAGAAACGGUGGGGGCUAAUAUCCUCCAUUAAUGACGGUACCUGAAGAAUAAGCACCGGCUAACUACGUGCCAGCAGCCGCGGUAAUACGUAGGGUGCAAGCGUUAAUCGGAAUUACUGGGCGUAAAGCGUGCGCAGGCGGUUUUGUAAGUCUGUCGUGAAAUCCCCGGGCUCAACCUGGGAAUUGCGAUGGAGACUGCAAGGCUAGAAUCUGGCAGAGGGGGGUAGAAUUCCACGUGUAGCAGUGAAAUGCGUAGAGAUGUGGAGGAACACCGAUGGCGAAGGCAGCCCCCUGGGUCAAGAUUGACGCUCAUGCACGAAAGCGUGGGGAGCAAACAGGAUUAGAUACCCUGGUAGUCCACGCCCUAAACGAUGUCUACUAGUUGUCGGGUUUUAAUUAACUUGGUAACGCAGCUAACGCGUGAAGUAGACCGCCUGGGGAGUACGGUCGCAAGAUUAAAACUCAAAGGAAUUGAC
rnacentral:rRNA from 1 species